rnacentral:rRNA from 1 species
GAUGAACGCUGGCGGCGUGCCUAAUACAUGCCAGUCGAGCGAACAGACGAGGAGCUUGCUCCUCUGACGUUAGCGGCGGACGGGUGAGUAACACGUGGAUAACCUACCUAUAAGACUGGGAUAACUACGGGAAACCGGAGCUAAUACCGGAUAAUAUAUUGAACCGCAUGGUUCAAUAGUGAAAGACGGUGUUGCGGUAACUUAUAGAUGGAUACGGGCCGCAUGAGCUAGUCGGUAAGGUAACGGCUUACCAAGGCAACGAUGCGUAGCCGACCUGAGAGAGGGGUCGGCCACAUGGGAACUGAGACAGCGUCCAGACUCCUACGGGACGCAGCAGUAGGGAAUCUUCCGCAAUGGGCGAAAGCAUGACGGAGUAACGCCGCGCGAGUUAUGAAGGUCCUCGGAUCGUAAAACUCUGUUAUGAGUGAAGAACAAAUGUGUAAGUAACUAUGCACGUCUUGACGGUACCUAAUCAGAAAGCCACGGCUAACUACGUG